GGGCAACUAAGAAAAGGGGGCUCGUCUUUUCGGGGUGUUCUUCUCCCACUCCCCUCUUGCUCAUCCCUCCGCGACUCUGACGCCGGCAAGGUUUGGAGAGCCGCUCGGUUCGCGCGACCCGCGGGCUUGCACCAGCCUGGACUCGGACGGGCUCUGCCGCCCCCGCCUCUCGCCUCUCUCCUCCCCUCCCCUCCCCGCCCUCCCGCUCCCUGUACACUUGAUCGGCGGAGACUUGGGGCUGCCUGGCCGGGGCUUCCCCCUCACCCCUCCCUAGACCCAGCGCGCUCCUGACGCUCGCCAGUUACUUGUUGGGGUUUGUUUCUCUUGGCUCCCAGGGCAGGCGCAGGGCUUAUAAGAGCAGUUCGGGCUGGGUCGGGGCGUUUUGUUUUGUUCGGUUUUGUUUUGCGAGCGCGCGCGCGAGAGGCGGUCGUAAAGACCUGGGAGGAAGAUGUCAACCGUGAGAGUGUCUAACGGGAGCCCGAGCCUGGAGCGGAUGGACGCCAGGCAGGCGGAGUACCCCAAGCCCUCCGCCUGCAGAAACCUCUUCGGCCCCGUCGAUCACGAAGAGUUAACCCGGGACUUGGAGAAGCACUGCCGGGACAUGGAAGAGGCGAGCCAGCGCAAGUGGAAUUUUGAUUUUAAGAACCACAAGCCCCUGGAGGGCAGAUAUGAGUGGCAGGAGGUGGAAAAGGCCAGCUUGCCAGAGUUCUACUACCGCGCGCCACGGCCACCCAAAGGCGCCUGUAAGGUGCCGGCGCAGGAGAGCCAGGAUGUCAGCGGGAGCCGCCAGGCGGUGCCUCUCGUCGGGUCCCAGGCAAACUCGGAGGACACGCACUUGGCGGAGCAAAAGACUGAUGCGUCGGACAGCCAGCCGGGCUUGGCGGAGCCGUGCGCCGGGAUGAGGAAGCGACCUGCAGCAGACGAUGCCUCUUCGCAAAACAAAAGAACCAACAGAACAGAUGAAAAUGUUUCAGACGGUUCCCCGAACGCGGGCUCCGUGGAGCAGACGCCCAAGAAGCCGGGCCUCAGAAAACGUCAAACGUAAAGUGCUCGGACCAGGGUUUCUCAACCUCUGCACUGUUGACAUUUUGGGCCAAAAUUGAGACUAUGUUUCCUUGUUUAUCAGAUACAUCAUUGCUUGGCGAAGCAAGGAAGAUACGAAUUAAACAUUUUAAAUACAUAUCGCUGACUCCAUGGAAUGGAUGUCCUGUAUAAGCACUGAAAAGGAACAACACAAUAACACUAAAAUUUUAGGCACUCUUAAGUGAUCUGCCUCUAAAAGCAUUGGAUGUAGCAUCGUGCAAUUAGGUUUUUCCUUAUUUGCUUCAUUGUACUACCUGUGUAUAUAGUUUUUAUCUUUUAUGUAGCACAUAAACUCGGGGGAAGGGAGGGGGGGAGGGUGGAGCUGAGGAAUUGGCUUUGGGAGGUAUGAAGAGCUUGCUUCGAUUUAGAGCAAGGAGAAAAUUAUUUGACUUAACAUGAAGAGAAGCAGUUUAAGGAAAGGGUUUGAAUUGUUUUCUUUAAAGUUGUAAUGUCCCUUUCAGUGAAAACUGAUACUUCGUUUUAAAAAUCAUCCAAAUUUGAACACUGGCUGCAGAUAACUGCUAUUUAUUUUUUACAUGAAGCUAUUUUUUUCAUUUGGGAGCUCUGAUUAUUCCGUUAUGUAGCAGUAAAUGGCUUUUAUUUUUUUUUUAACAACAACAAAAAACUGUCCUUAGUGCUCCCCUUAAAAUUGGAAUUUACUAGUUAAUUAUUUAGCAGUUAGGUAAUCACUCCAGGUAAUUAUAGGCAAAAAAAUAUAAAUGGAGGGGGGGAGUCUGAAUGCUCAGAAUCAACCAUCUAAUUUUUAUCAGAUUUGUUGAGAAAAUUUCUGAAUUUUCUUUUCACUUUGGGCUGUGUAGACAAAGUCAAAAUAAUUCUAAAUCCUUGGAUAUUUUUAAAAGCUCUGUAAGUAAUUUCACAUGAAAAAUAAUGAAAUAAUUUUAAAUUUAAAGCUUCUUAUUCUAUUUGCUAAUUUGCCCAAAGGAAAGUAGUGUUUUAAGAGGAAAGUGUGUAUACAAAAAGCCCGUCUGGUAUAAGUGAAAUGGAUACUACAUCUUUAAACAGUAUUUUUCAUUUCCUGUGUAUGUGUAUGAAAAAAAAAACACCAUUUGAAGUGUACCUGUGUACAUAACUCUGUAAAGACACUGAAAAAUUAUACUAACUUAUUUAUGUUAAAAAAAGAUUUUUUUUUUUAAUCUAGACAAUAUACAAGCCAAAGUGGCAUGUUUUGUGCAUUUGUAUAUGCUGUAUUGGGUAGAAUAGAUUUUUCCCCCUUCUUCUGUUAAAUAAUAUGGCUGUGCUUAAAAGGUUGCAUACUGAGCCAAGUAUAAUUUUUUGCAACGUGUGAAAAGAUGCCAAUUAUUGUUACAUAUCAAACAAUCAAUAAAGAAAGCUUCCAUAACUAUUCA